rnacentral:rRNA from 1 species
GUAGUCUCGCACAGAUGCAUAUCAAUAAGCGGAGGAAAAGAAACUAACAAGGAUUCCCUCAGUAACGGCGAGUGAAGCGGGAAGAGCUCAAAUUUGAAAUCUUGAAAGGUCACCUUUCACGAAUUGUAGUUUAAAGAAGUGUUUUCUGUUACGAUCGUAAUAUAAGUUCUUUGGAAUAGGACAUCACAGAGGGUGAGAAUCCCGUCUAUGAUUGCGAUUUGUAGCUUUGUGAUACACUUUCAAAGAGUCGGGUUGUUUGGGAAUGCAGCCCAAAACGGGAGGUAAAUUUCUUCUAAGGCUAAAUAUUGGCGAGAGACCGAUAGCGAACAAGUACCGUGAGGGAAAGAUGAAAAGGACUUUGAAAAGAGAGUUAAAUAGUACGUGAAAUUGUCAAAAGGGAAGCGUUUAACACCAGUGUUGUUUUCUGAACAUCAACCUCUGUUAGCUUUAUGCAUGUUUGUUUAGACCUAAUCAGCUAUCUUUCAUGUUCUAUUGUUUGCAGUGGUGCACUUUUCAGUUUCACAGGUCAACAUCAGUUUUCUUUACCGUAAAAAAGUUAAAGAAAGGUAGCUCAUGGCUCCGGUCGUGAGUGUUAUAGUCUUUUUCCUAUGCGGUAGGAGAGACUGAGGUCUGCAGUGUAGGCUAUUUGGCUAGAUACUCAGGUGCUAUGUGAUACCAUUUCAUAAACAACUUGUUGAUUAUGUUUUGUCUAUUGCAUACUCGCUUGUACUAUCAUACCUACGCUUAGGAUGUUGAGUCGUAGAGCACGCAG